CCUACGGGGAGCAGCAGUGGGGAAUAUUGCACAAUGGGCGCAAGCCUGAUGCAGCAACGCCGCGUGAACGAAGAAGGCGCUUGGGUCGUAAAGUUCUGUUCUGAGGGAAGAAGAAAGUGACGGUACCUCAGGAGAAAGCCCCGGCAAACUACGUGCAAGCGGCCGCGGUAAUACGUAGGGGGCAGGCGUGGUCCGGAAUUAUUGGGCGAAAAGAGUACGUAGGCGGUCUGUUAAGCGCAUGGGAAAAGGCAUAGGUUCAACCAAUGUGAGCCUUGCAAACUGGCAGACUUGAGUACAGGAGAGGAAAUCGGAAUUCCUAGUGUAGCGGUGAAAUGCGUAGAUAUUAGGAGGAACACCGGUGGCGAAGG
rnacentral:rRNA from 1 species